rnacentral:lncRNA from 10 species
UGUGGGAAAGUAAGGGAAGUGAGUCCCUGUCUGCUAAUUCAGAAGAAUUCCUUCAGGUGUGAUCUCAAACCACCAAUGUGGUACCUCCACAAGUCUGCAAAAAACAAUGACAUUCUUCACAGAAAUAGAAAUAAAAAAUGAAUUCUAAAAUUUAUAUGUAACUACAAAAGACUUAGAAUAUCCUAAGCUAUCCUGAGCAGAAAACAAACAAAACUGGAGGAAUCAAGGUAACCCUCAUACACUGUUAGUGGGAAUGUAAUUUAAGUACAACCACUAUGGAGAAAUGUUUGGAGGUCCUCCACAAAGAUACUCCUCAAGAAGAGCAACUCCAAGGCAAAUAAUUUUCAGACUCACCAAAGUUGAAAUGAAGGAAAAAAUGUUAAGGGCAGUCAGAGAGAAAGGUCAGGUUACCCAGAAAGGGAAGCCCA